rnacentral:rRNA from 1 species
GAUGAACGCUGGCGGCGUGCCUAAUACAUGCAAGUCGAGCGAACAGAUGAGGAGCUUGCUCCUCUGACGUUAGCGGCGGACGGGUGAGUAACACGUGGAUAACCUACCUAUAAGACUGGGAUAACUUCGGGAAACCGGAGCUAAUACCGGAUAAUAUAUUGAACCGCAUGGUUCAAUAGUGAAAGACGGUUUUGCUGUCACUUAUAGAUGGAUCCGCGCCGCAUUAGCUAGUUGGUAAGGUAACGGCUUACCAAGGCAACGAUGCGUAGCCGACCUGAGAGGGUGAUCGGCCACACUGGAACUGAGACACGGUCCAGACUCCUACGGGAGGCAGCAGUAGGGAAUCUUCCGCAAUGGGCGAAAGCUUGACGGGGCAACGCCGCGUGAGUGAUGAAGGUCCUCGGAUCGUAAAACUCUGUUAUUAGGGAAGAACAAAUGUGUAAGUAACUAUGCACGUCUUGACGGUACCUAAUCAGAAAGCCACGGCUAACUACGUG